rnacentral:rRNA from 1 species
AGGCCUAACACAUGCAAGUCGGACGAGAAGGUUCCUUCGGGAACUGGAGAGUGGCGCACGGGUGAGUAACGCGUGGGGACCUACCUCUUAGUGGGGGAUAACGGUUGGAAACGACCGCUAAUACCGCAUACGCCCUUCGGGGGAAAGAUUUAUCGCUAAGAGAUGGACCCGCGUUGGAUUAGAUAGUUGGUGAGGUAACGGCUCACCAAGUCAGCGAUCCAUAGCUGGUUUGAGAGGAUGAUCAGCCACACUGGGACUGAGACACGGCCCAGACUCCUACGGGAGGCAGCAGUGGGGAAUAUUGGACAAUGGGGGCAACCCUGAUCCAGCCAUGCCGCGUGAGUGAAGAAGGCCUUCGGGUUGUAAAGCUCUUUCAGAUGCGAAGAUGAUGACGGUAACAUCAG